UACGGGAGGGGCAAGCGUUAUUCAUCAUAAGCGGGCGUAAAGGGUGAGUAGGCAAUGGUAGAUAGUUUACAAGAAAUAACAAAAUACCUUUUGUUGCUUGUUUUCUAAAAACUAGUUAAUUGAGAUCAUGGAGAGAGGAUAGAAUUACUAAUGGAAAGGUAAAAUCUUUUGAGAUUAGUACGAAUACCAAAGGCGAAGGCAAUCUUCAUCCUAAUCUAACGCUGAGGUGCUAAAGCUUGGGAAUCAAACGGG
rnacentral:rRNA from 1 species